GCCAGGCACAGUGGCUCAUGCCUAUAGUCCCAGCUACUCAGGAGGCUGAGGUGGGAGGAUCACUUGAGCCCAGGAGUUCUGGGCUGUAGUGCGCUAUGCCAAUCGGGUGUCAGCACUAAGUUCAGCAUCAAUAUGGUAACCUCCUGAGAGCAGGGGACCACCAGGUUGCUUAAGGAGGGGUGGACCGGCCCAGGUCAGAAAUGGAGCAGGUCAAAACUCCCAGGCUGAUCAGUAGUGGGAUCGUGCCUGUGAAUAGCCUACGCACUCCAGCCUGGGCAACAUAGCAAGACUCUGCGUCU
rnacentral:SRP_RNA from 1 species